GUGGGGUUAUGGUAUGGGCCCCAUGGUGGAGAUGUGGUUAUGGUAUGGGCCCCAUGGUGGAGGUGGGGUAUGGGCCCCAUGGUGGUGGAGGUGGGGUUAUGGUAUGGGCCCCAUGGUGGUGGAGGUGGGGUAUGGGCCCCAUGGUGGUGGAGGUGGGGUUAUGGUAUGGGCCCCAUGGUGGAGAUGUGGGGUUAUGGUAUAGGCCCCAUGGUGGAGUUGGGGUUAUGGUAUGGGCCCCAUGGUGGAGGUGGGGUUAUGGUAUGGGCCCCAUGGUGGCAGUGGGGUUAGGGUGUGGUAUGGACCUCAUGGUGGAGGUGGGGUUAUGGUAUGGGCCCCAUGGUGGGGUUAGGGUGUGGUAUGGGCCCCAUGGUGGAGGUGGGGUUAUGGUAUGGGCCCCAUGGUGGCAGUGGGGUUAUGGUAUGGGCCCCAUGGUGGAGGUGGGGUUAUGGUAUGGGCCCCAUGGUGGAGGUGGGGUUAUGGUAUGGGCCCCAUGGUGGAGGUGGGGUUAUGGUAUGGGCCCCAUGGUGGAGAUGUGGGGAUAUGGUAUGGGCCCCAUGGUG
rnacentral:lncRNA from 1 species